rnacentral:rRNA from 1 species
AAAGUGAAUAGUGAAAUCUGGAGGCUCAACCGUACAGGCUAUUAUUCGAACUCACUAACUCGAGAGUAGCAGAGGUAACUGGAAUUUCUUGUGUAGGAGUGAAAUCCGUAGAUAUAAGAAGGAACACCAAUGGCGUAGGCAGGUUACUGGACCAUUUCUGACACUGAGGCACGAAAGCGUGGGGAGCGAACCGGAUUAGGUACCCGGGUAGUCCCACGCCGUAAACUAUGGAUACUA